rnacentral:misc_RNA from 1 species
UUCGGCUACUCAGGGAUCUUGUUAAUGAGGGCAUAUUCGAUAUUAUAGUUGAUAUUUUGCAGAGCCCUGACAAAAAGCUUGUGUUGAUGGGGACAGACAUUCUGAUUCUUUUGAAUCAGGACCCAAAUCUUCUGCGGUCUCAUGUAAUUCGUCAGGAAGGUCUUACUCUUUUUGGACUUCUGGUCAGAGGUAUGCUAACAGAUUUUGGUGAUGACAUGCACUGCCAGUUUAAUGAAAUUCUUCGCAGUCUAUUAGAUUCAUAUGCGUCAGGAUUACAGAGAGACACUAUAGUUGAAAUUUUUUAUGAGAAGCACCUAACUGGAUUGGUUCAAGCUAUAACAUUAUCCUGCCCCCCAAAAGGGGAUUCACUAUCAGUCAGUGAGUCUGCAAACUCUGAUGGAGGAAAUGUGAAGCAAAGUUGUGUGAAGCCUGAAAUACUGCUAAAUAUAUGUGAAGCCUGAA